AAUAUUGCACAAUGGGCGAAAGCCUGAUGCAGCAACGCCGCGUGCAUGAUGAAGGCCUGCGGGUGGUAAAGUUCUUUGAUCAGGGAGGAAAAUGACAGUACCUGAAAAAAAAGCAAAGGCUAACUACGUGCCAGCAGCCGCGGUAAUACGUAGGGGGCGAGCGUUGUCCGGAAUUACUGGGCGUAAAGGAUGCGUAGGUGGAUACUUAAGUGGGAUGUGAAAUCCCCGGGCUCAACCCGGGAACUGCAUUCCAAACUGGGUAUCUAGAGUGCAGGAGAGGAAAGCGGAAUUCCUAGUGUAGCGGUGAAAUGCGUAGAUAUUAGGAGGAACACCAGUGGCGAAGGCGGCUUUCUGGACUGUAACUGACACUGAGGCAUGAAAGCGUGGGUAGCAAACAGG
rnacentral:rRNA from 1 species